AUUGAACGCUGGCGGCAGGCUUAACACAUGCAAGUCGAGCGGAGAUGAGGUGCUUGCACCUUAUCUUAGCGGCGGACGGGUGAGUAAUGCUUAGGAAUCUGCCUAUUAGUGGGGGACAACAUUCCGAAAGGAAUGCUAAUACCGCAUACGUCCUACGGGAGAAAGCAGGGGAUCUACGGACCUUGCGCUAAUAGAUGAGCCUAAGUCGGAUUAGCUAGUUGGUGGGGUAAAGGCCUACAAAGGCGACGAUCUGUAGCGGGUCUGAGAGGAUGAUCCGCCACACUGGGACUGAGACACGGCCCAGACUCCUACAGGAGGCAGCAGUGGGGAAUAUUGGACAAUGAGGGAAACCCUGAUCCAGCCAUGCCGCGUGCGUGAAGAAGGCCUUAUGGUUGUAAAGCACUUUAAGCGAGGAGGAGGCUACUGAGACUAAUACUUUUGGAUAGUGGACGUUACUCGCAGAAUAAGCACCGGCUAACUCUGUGCCAGCAGCCGCAGUAA
rnacentral:rRNA from 1 species